CCUACGGGAGGCAGCAGUGGGGAAUAUUGCGCAAUGGGCGAAAGUCUGACGCAGCGACGCCGCGUGAGGGAUGAAGGUCUUCGGAUCGUAAACCUCUGUUAGCAGGGAAGAACGGUCACUGUGCUAAUCAGCAGUGAAUUGACGGUACCUGCAAAGGAAGCACCGGCUAACUCCGUGCCAGCAGCCGCGGUAAUACGGAGGGUGCGUGCGUUCAUCGGAAUUACUGGGCGUAAAGCGCUCGUAGGCGGUAUGUUAAGUCAAGUGUGAAAUCCCCGGGCUCAACGUGGGAACUGCAUUUGAAACUGGCAAACUGGAGUGUGUAAGAGGAUAGUGGAAUUCCAGGUGUAGGAGUGAAAUGCGUAGAUAUCUGGAGGAACAUCAGUGGCGAAGGCGACUAUCUGGCACGUAACUGACGCUGAGGAGCGAAAGCGUGGGUAGCAAACAGGAUUAGAUACCCGAGUAGUC
rnacentral:rRNA from 1 species